rnacentral:lncRNA from 1 species
UGAACCUUCCUGCGUGCUACCCAAGGAGUGCCUAGGGCUACCAGGAGGCCCAGGGAGGAACCUUGAGACCUGAGAAAGGCUUUUCUUCCCCGAGAGGACCACUGCUCAGGCUCAGAGGCCAUGGGGUGAAGUGCACAAAAAAGUGGGCGUCCAGCCAUGCUCUAAGUCCCCCGAAGAUGAAGACCAGGGAGCAGCUUCCUCCAAUGAAGCAGCAGCAAUCAGAGGACCAGGAGGCUGAAGCCCUGAGCCCAGCCAGAGGCAGGAUCAGCCAAGUCUGGGACAGGCUUCAAUUAUUUUAGGGAGGGCGGGGGAGUGGCAGCAGAGAGAAGCGGCAGGUAAUUUAUUCAGGAGCUGGAAGCUGAGAAACGGAUUUGAUGGAGUCUUGCUCUGUUGUCCAGGCUGGAGUGCAAUGGCGCGAUCUCACCUCACUGCAACCUCCACCUCCCCGGUUCAAGCGAUUCUCCUGCCUCAGCCUCCUGAGUAG